rnacentral:sRNA from 1 species
UGAAAACAUUAUCAUACUGCUGAUUGACAUUCUAUAGACUAGACUAAGACUCUAAUCUAGACUAGACUAGAUUAUGGAUCUAAAAUCUAGUCUGACAGCUAGAGAUAUCUAGAUCUAAAUUGACUAGAUUUGUUUAGAAUAGAUAAGUUUAGAUCUACUCAGUGAGUCAGUCUACUGAUCUAGAUUCAUAAGAUUCUUAAUCUUAGACAGAUCUAGAUCUAGUUAGACGUCUUGUCUUAGACUUUAGAGAGUUAUUCGACGAGUGAAGAUUCAAGAUUUAUUCUUUAGUCACAAUAGUGUGACUAGAGUAGAGAAGUCUCAGACUCAGAAGUAGGACUAUAGAAACUUUCCAAACUUGUGUUGUAAGAUGCUGUAAUCUUACUUCUAAAGCUUUUAUGCUGAGAUAUUUGAAGGAAGUAUUAAAAGUUUUGUAAAAUAUUUACUUUUGUAAAUCUAAUCAAGAUUUAUUAGAUCUAACCACCAAAGCAAGGCUACUUCUUAUUAUGUGGUCUCAUCAACAAGUUUUAGCUGAGUUUCAGUUAUACACAUGUCUAAGU